rnacentral:rRNA from 1 species
UCCUCCCUCUUUCUUCGUGCCUAAUACAUGCAAGUCGAACGCUUCUUUCCUCCCGAGUGCUUGCACUCAAUUGGAAAGCGGAGUGGCGGACGGGUGAGUAACACGUGUGUAACCUACCCAUCAGAGGGGGAUAACACUUGGAAACAGGUGCUAAUACCGCAUAACAGUUUAUGCCGCAUGGCAUAAGAGUGAAAGGCGCUUUCGGGUGUCGCUGAUGGAUGGACCCGCGGUGCAUUAGCUAGUUGGUGAGGUAACGGCUCACCAAGGCCACGAUGCAUAGCCGACCUGAGAGGGUGAUCGGCCACACUGGGACUGAGACACGGCCCAGACUCCUACGGGAGGCAGCAGUAGGGAAUCUUCGGCAAUGGACGAAAGUCUGACCGAGCAACGCCGCGUGAGUGAAGAAGGUUUUCGGAUCGUAAAACUCUGUUGUUAGAGAAGAACAAGGACGUUAGUAACUGAACGUCCCCUGACGGUAUCUAACCAGAAAGCCACGGCUAACUACGUG